CCACAGGCAAUGCCAGAAACUCCCACGUCGACGCUCAAGCCGACUCCAGACAGAAAGACAAACAUGCAUAUGCACACACGCACUCACGCACACACUCAGAAGCCUGCUGUCUUCUGGGGGCUCAGUGCACCUCACUAGCUGGUGGGCCCCUGGGACAUGGCUCGUGUGUGCCCCCACCCCUGCCCCUGUCAGUGCAGGCCUCCUGGACUCCGUAGCCCUGGCCUUGGCUUCCGAGAGCUGUUUCCAAGUCACAGCCUCCCCAGGCACGAUUCCCUAGCACUGCACCUACUCACAGUAAGUGGCUUUCAGGCCCCACACCUGACUUCACGGCCCGCAGUAGCUCACACCUUGUUAGCACAGCAGCGCCACCCAAAACACUUCUUUUUUUCUUAAAAAAAAAAGAUUUUAUUGAUUUAUUCAUGAGAGACAGAGAGAGAGAGAAAAAGAGAGACACAGGCAGAGGGAGAAGCAGGCUCCAGGCAGGGAGCCCGAUGUGGGACUCGAUCCCGGGACCCCAGGAUCACGCCCUGGGCUGAAGGCAGGGGCUAAACCUCUGAGCCACCCAGGGAUCCCCCCAAAGCACCUCUUGUGUGGCAUUUUGGAGAAAAGUUAUAGGGAAAGGACUGGGUGGGCUUGCAUGAAGCGCAGGCCUCUGCUUCUCCCAGCCGCGUUUUGCUUGUGGAAUCAGCGCCCAAGUUCCUGUGAGCCGGGGUUUUGGUCUCAGCCAUGAUGGGGUUCCAGCAGGAGACAGGCAGCCCUGGUGGCGGCCGAGGGUGAGGGACAGGCCCGGGACAGAGCAGCUGGGGAGGACAGAGGCCGGGGGAGCCCUGCGUUUCUCACGGCGGGAACGGGCCCAGAGGCUCCAGGGCAGCUUGUCACCCCAAGACCUAGGAACAGCUUCUCUUUUUCUAAGGUGGCUUUUACUGUCAUCAUCACCACCCAGCUGGGAAAGGCAGUGAGUCCCUCUUGGGGUUCUGCUCAUCGCUGAGGGUCCCCUGACCAGUCCUCGCUCGGCGAGAGCCCGAUGUUCCCGCGUUGUCGGCCCCCGAACAAGGAGUCGGGGGGCCAGGUGGGCUGCCCACCUGGUGGGGCCAGCUCCGGGGGGGCGCCUCUGUGAGGUCUUUUUUGAAACUGGAAGGCAUUUGCCCAGUUACUUGGCUUCUGAACCCUCCACCAGCCACGUACCGUCUUCCCCUGGGAAGGGUGCUCUCGAAUAUUCCUUCUGGGGCAGCCCUAGCAGCCCCUAGGGCCCUCUGGGGCUUCUCCAUCGGGCCCCCGCCUGGCCCGUUUCCCGCCCCCACGGUUGGGGGCGCAUGGUGGGCGCCGUGUGCUGCGGGUGAUCGCGGGAGGGGUGUCCACAGCACACAGCGUCCUUGCACCAUUUCUUGGACCCCCGACCCGGGGUGGGGUGGGGAGGGCUGGCGGCGGGCCUGGCGUCUCGUGGAUGGAAAGGCUGAAGAGUCCUCGGCUGAUCUGAGAAACGUGAGAACAGGGCUGGGAAAAUCGGCCGUUUUUGUGGUUUGGGGGUUUGAAGCAAGUUUCACAACUGAUCUCCCAAGAACACGGUCCAGGGAGAUGCGCUCCCCGCCCGGGGGCAGCCCCCCG
rnacentral:lncRNA from 12 species